CAAACAUGGCCACACGGCAACAGACUGCUCCUCUGAGCAGGGCUCUCGAGAUGGGAUGGCUCCCCCUCUCCCUUCACAGAAGGCACAGAAAGAAACAGGGGCUUGCACUGGCAGGUGAGAGAGGUGCAUUGGAACCCUGGAACAUCCAUCUCAACUUUUCCACAGUGCUCAGGAAUGGAUGGAAAAGACGGCAAAGUCUUCCUAGCCACUAUUCAUGGAUAGUAGGUGAGUGUCACAAAGCCGCUGUCCUGCUGCCCACCUGGCAGCUCCACAGAGCUGUGUAUCCCUGAGCUGAGAUGGUUGUGCACACAGCUGCCUUGCCUCUUGUAGGCACUCUGUCCAAGAGCUGGAGAACCCUGAAAGGGGGAGGGAGAAUGCACUGGAGGGCUGGAGACCCGCCUGGUGCUUCUGCCUGCCCGUGUAGGUGGCUGAGGAGGGACUACGUCAGAGGGCUGGCUCCUGAACUUCUGACCCGCUGGGUGUUCACAGAUGGCUCUCUGCAAGGGCAGGAAGGGCCUCACGCUGGUCCCUUGCCAGGGUGCUGCUACACACAGAGCCUGGACUGUUCCCUCCCAAGCUUCUUCCCUGGGGACCUGGGAGAGGCCAUGUGGCUGACAGAGCAGACCCUUCUAGCUGAGCUGCUUUGGGAUGUUCCUGCCACAUGUCUACAGGCAGAGACCUGGGACCUCUGCCUACUCAGAAGGGGCCCUGUGGUCACACUCCGCCCCGUGGCCUCAGAUGUUGGACAGCUGACUUUUCUAUUCCUUUGGAGAAAAGGCUGGUCUGUAGCUGUGGGAUUCCCACUAGAAACUGAUACUGAAAGGGACCAGCUAUGCUGUGUGUCCAUGCCAGCAACCUGUCUCUCCAACUCUCAACCCUCCUCCCGCUGAGCUUGGCGCACCGUGGGGCCUUGGCUUCACAGGUUUGGCCUGUUGGUGACUGUCCCCGAUCUCCGCCCUUUUGGAGUCUCAUUUGAGAAACCCUGGCCCGCUGAUGACCAUCCCCAUAGGUCUUGUCUAUGUGGUUGGCUGAGUUUGACAACACGAUGGAACUUCAUGGGAUCUCCCCCAAAAGGAAUUCAAGAUCCCAUUACAGAUGGCUGUGAGCCACCAUGUGGUUGCUGGGAAUUGAACCCAGGACCUCUGGAGGAACAGCCAGUGCUCUCAAGCUCUGAGUCAUUCUCCAGCCUCCUCACUCUUAAGCUGGGAAAGUGUGAGGCCGCAGAGAAGUUCCGCAAGCUCAGGCCGGAGAGAUGCAGGGCAGAGGUGUUGCCCAAGGCCCAGAGUCCUGGUUGCCUCCAAAUCCUGCCACUUUCCAGUCCCUUUCCUUCUCUGUCCUCAAGGAAUGACAGCUGCGCUGAGGCCCUCGGUGCCUCAGGACCCUCUGGUGGAGUUCAGACUCCAGCUGGCUCAAUGCAAGAGGUAGGCGAGGCUCUCUGGGGCGCUUGCGCCUGCUCAGCCAGCGUGAGUGGGAGGCCUGGAGGGCUGCCACCGAGAGCCGGGAAUGAAUGUUGCAGAACUUCCUCUUUCUCAAGCCUCUUAAUCCCGUUUAGCCAAGGCAGAGCAUCCUCCUAAUUACAAGGUUCUUCUGAAGCAGUAUGUUACCUUAGCGCCAGCAGCUCGCACGUCUCACAUGCGACUCCCACCACGUCACUGGAACUCUUCCAAGAGCCACAUGGAGUGGCUGGCCCAUUGAAUGGACUGUUCUUUUCUGCAACCCCAUUUGGUUUCAUAGCAGUGUUUCUUCUUUCUUUCCCCUUGGAACCUUGGGAAAUCCCCCCAAAGAUGAGAGCCCAUGAGCUCUCAUCUCAUUGGCUGGCACAGACUGGCCAAGAGUGCUCAUCAGUGAAGGUUGAGCAUACAUGUUCAGUCAUCGCGCGUUGAUUGAGUGCUGUAUGUGCAUGGAUGCAAAGGUGAGCCUCUGAAGGACUGCAGAGACCAGUGAAUGAAUAAACAAAUCCGUGACUUCAAGACUCGUCUUCACUCCCGGAUGCCGUGAGGGCCCAGGGACUAUCUCUACCCAUCAGAGACAAAGGGACACCACGUCCAGGCACGGCGCCCUCUUGUCUCUGAAUCUCACUCUCCCCACAUGGAAGAUGGGGCCAGCGAUUACCAACUUCCUGGGCCAUGGGGGGUUCAUCGUGGAGCUGGUGAACCCCCUUCAUGCUCUCAUCUCUCCUAGGGCUGUUCAUGAGGUCAUUUGUAGUUUGCAGACACUACGGAGUCAGGCUGUUUUCUUGUAAAGAACGCUCCUGCGAUGGCUAAUCUUCAUUGUCAACCCCACAGAAUGGAAAAUCACCCGGGUACAUCCAUGUCUGCGCCCAUGAGGCUGUUUCCAGAGAAUUUAACUGAGGAGGGACAACCUGCCCUGAACAUGGGUGACACUGUUAUUCUUUUGUUUAAAAAGAAGAAAAGAGAAAUAUUGAGAUGGACAUAUUGACUAUAAGUUUAUUAUAAGGACCGGCAGAAUGGGGAGACUAAGAGGAGGAACAGGGUAAUGGCUGACCGCCAUGGCCGGUCGCCAUAGAGAGACAGAGCGGGGAAACAGAGAGAGGGGACAGAGAGCAGGAACAGGGAGGAGAGAGAGAGAGAGAGGGCAGGGGCCUAUCUUUUAAAGGGGUCCUCUGCACCUGCGUACAGACUUCUUUCCCAUGGAACCUUGGGCUGACCAGGGUAUUGCCUGAGUGGAUUCCACCAGGUAACAGGGGCAGGCCAGCAUAAUGCCUGAACCUUUCAGACACCAUCUCAGGUCAGGGGUUCCAGACUAAAUUAAAAAACAGACAACAAUCUGAGUGCUCCCUGACCUCUCUUUGUGUCCUGACUACAGAUGUCACCAGCUGCUUCUUGCUCUGGGUGCCCUAACUGGAAGUAGUUCUCUCAGCCAAGCCUCCCACCAUGAUGGACUGUACAUCCUCAGUCUUUGGGCCAAAAUAAACCCUUGCUGCAUUACGUUGCUUUGGUCAGUAUUCUCUCACGGCAACGAGAAAAUUUAGGAGUCCCUAAAUGCUCUAAGUAUCGGACCCCACCAAACCUGAGCUGGCUACUGCACAGAGCCAUGGUUAAUCGUGAGUGACAGGAAAAGGGGCUUCAAGGUGGAGGUAUCAUCCAAACUUGCUGUUUAGGGACACAUGAAGGGCUUUGGGAUCACAGAUGCUCCCUGGAAUUUGCAGGAGUACCACUGUGCCUUCACUAGUGACUUGGGAGGAUAAAAAGGACUACACCUCGUUAGUCUCUUGAGAUGCACAAUUUUAAAG
ensembl:lncRNA